rnacentral:rRNA from 1 species
CUGUUAACCUAGAAUAUGGGAGAGGUAGAUGGAAUUUUCUGGUGUAGGGGUAAAAUCCGUAGAGAUCAGAAAGGAAUACCGAUUGCGAAGGCGAUCUACUGGAACAUUAUUGACGCUGAGACGCGAAAGCGUGGGGAGCAAACAGGAUUAGAUACCCUGGUAGUCCACGCCCUAAACGAUGUACACUAGUUGUUGCGAUGCUAGACAUUGCAGUAAUGCAGUUAACACAUUAAGUGUACCGCCUGGGGAGUACGGUCGCAAGAUUAAAACUCAAAGGAAUAGACGGGGACCCGCACAAGCGGUGGAGCAUGUGGUUUAAUUCGACGAUACGCGAAGAACCUUACCUGGACUUGACAUAGUAAGAAUGUUUUAGAGAUAGAACAGUGUCUGCUUGCAGAAACUUGCAUACAGGUGCUGCACGGCUGUCGUCAGCUCGUGUCGUGAGAUGUUGGGUUAAGUCCCGCAACGAGCGCAACCCUCGUCGUUAGUUGCUAACAGUUCGGCUGAGAACUCUAACGAGACUGCCUGGGCAACCAGGAGGAAGGUGAGGACGACGUCAAGUCAUCAUGGCCCUUACGUCCAGGGCUACACACGUGCUACAAUGGGGCAUACAAAGAGCAGCGAUACCGCGAGGUGGAGCAAAUCUCAAAAAUGCCUCCCAGUUCGGAUAGCACUCUGCAACUCGAGUGCUUGAAGUUGGAAUCGCUAGUAAUCGUAGAUCAGCAAUGCUACGGUGAAUACGUUCCCGGGUCUUGUACUCACCGCCCGUCACACCAUGGGAGUUGAACUCAUUCGAAGCGGGGAUGCUAAAGUAGCUACCCUCCACAGUGGAUUCAGCGACUGGGGUGAAGUCGUAACAAGGUACCCG